UCCUAAGGCAAGCUCAGGGAGGACAGAAACCUCCUGCGGAGCAGAAGGGCAAAAGCUUGCUUAAACUUGAUUUUCAGUUCAAUACAGACAGUCAAAGCGGGGCCUCAC
rnacentral:rRNA from 1 species